AACUUUGAAAGGUAAAACUAUGGAGACCUACACAGAGGAGAGGAAUCGAGAUAGGACGACCUUGAAAUUUUUGUACACGAUUUUGCCUGUUUGCUUGGUUUCUCGCUAGGGCGGCGGUGGCGUAGAGAUAGAUGCUACUUUUGCAUUGGAGUAAAUGUGAAAAUUUCGAAAAUAAUUAAUUAUUCGUAGUUAAUAUAAGAUUAUUGGUUUUGGUGAUUAAUAUUAUUUAAAUAUGAGUGCCAAGAAAGCUUACACUAAAAGAACUUGCUUCGUACCGGGAUUUAUAACGAGUUAUCGUUCCGAUAAAAAAUUCAAAAGGGAACUUAACGAAGUUAAUAAAGACUUUUUAUAAAGA
rnacentral:lncRNA from 1 species